CGCGUAGGCGGAUCAGUCAGUCAGGGGUGGAAUCCCGGGGCUCAACCCCGGAACUGCCUUUGAUACUGCUGGUCUAGAGGUCGAGAGAGGUGAGUGGAAUUCCGAGUGUAGAGGUGAAAUUCGUAGAUAUUCGGAGGAACACCAGUGGCGAAGGCGGCUCACUGGCUCGAUACUGACGCUGAGGUGCGAAAGCGUGGGGAGCAAACA
rnacentral:rRNA from 1 species